AUUCCCUGGACCUUCUAGUCUAGAAUCUCCCAGAGCUAGUGACCUGACCCAGCCCCUCCCUCUUUUGUACAAAUACUCCCCUGGGGGAGACAGAGCCUCAGCCUUGCUGUCCCUGGCUCUGCACUCUCAGGUGUUGCGUGUGUCACUUCCUGCACUUGCCCCAUAAAGAUGGAUCCAGGUCACAAGGGUCCGUCCCCUCCUCAUGGUCCACCACCCCCUGGUCCUGGGGGACCCCCACAUCCAGGACCUGCUUGCCCAGCCCCUGGCCAUGGUCCUGGGGGACCUCCCCCUCCAGGACCUGCUUGCCCAGCCCGUGGCCAUGGCCCCGGGCACCCUGGUCCUCACCAUCCCCAUAGCCCCGGACACACUGGUCCUCAUCACUGAGAAAUGAGAAGACAAGAGGACACAAGAUGAGGAAGCUACACAGAACCCCCAGCUGACCCAGCUCCCAGACUUACCCAGAAUUUUCCUUUCCAAAUAAAUAGACUUCUGUAUGCCA